CCAGAGGCCUUCGCGGUCUCGCGAGAGCCGGCUGGCCGCGACAGGGGGCUGGCCGCGGGGCCGCGCUUUGUCGGUUUGAGCGCCCGGGGGAAGAUGGCGGUUGGCUCCCCUCCCCCGUCGCCCUGGCCUGGCCGCGUUCCCGCCGAGUUCCCCUCGCGGCGGGUGCGCAGCCUCGCCCGGGGGCGGGGCGGGGGAGGUCCUCUCUGCCGUUUCCGACCCCUGGGGACUCCCGUCGUCGGGCUUCGAGGAGGAAGUUGUUCUUCCUCCCCGCUGCCUAGGCCUGGGCUGACUGUGAUGAUUGGAGGGCCUGGGUCUUUCAUCCCAAGUGCUGUUUUUUAACCUCCGAAGCUGGGGUCCGGGUGUCACUUUGACAGCGUCGUCGUGCGGCGUCCCUGGCCCGCCUGCCUGGCCCUCUCGGGCACCGGGCCUACGGGCCUGGCGGGGCUUGGCACUCCCGUGCACCCGCUUUCUAAGGAGGGAAACCCCAAAUUAGCUCGUGACCCCAGGACCCUCCUGAAAGCGUGCUCUACUGUAACUUUGCUCGAAACAAACAUCUCAUUGGGUUACCAUUCCCGGAGCCCACCACUCCAGUUAAUUGUGACUUCCUUGCUGGGCAAAGCAUAGCCCAAAGCAGGUGUUCCUAAUGAGGUUCCAAUGCCGUCCCUCGGAAGUGACUAUUUAGAAAGAGCCUCUGAUGUUUUCGUUCUGUUGAGGUGAUUACAGAAACUCUCCCAUUCUUUCAGAAACAUAUUUGGUUUAAAAGUUUGAAUUGCGACUGUAAAAGCGCUUCCAGAGUCCAUCACGAAGUUUGAAAACAUAGUCGGCUGUAGUAAAACCGAGAGCCAAAUAAUGGAGCCAUUGGUUCUAACCUGCUCUCUGCGGUCUCUAAUGAGCUCUCACAGUGAAGUGUCCUGGGCAGCAGCGGUGGUUUUCCCAGGCUGGAUAAAGUAGCAUGCUGUUGAGGACAGGAUGAAGUGGGUAAGGGGCUGCCCGAUCGAAUAUCGAAUAUGCAAGAAAGUUGGAACUGAAAGGAGCUGAUAUUAUCAUCACACAGCGUAUACAGUGCCGUAUGAUUCGUAGACCAAGUGCAUAAUGCUUUAUGGGUACCAGGAUUGCCGCCAUAUCAACGGAAAAGGCUAAACAACUUGUGGGCAGGGGACCUGUCCUUGAGGAGAAUAAAGAGUCAGCUACAAGAGGGACAGAGGCCGCGGGAGUGCGUGAGGAAGAGAUGGAGCAUCCGGUGAGGAACCGCUGGAGAUGGAAUGUCUUCCUGCUCCCAGGCAUUUGACUCCAGUCAGACCCUAUAUUAUGUCAUUCCUGGAAAAAGAGAGGGAAUUGCAAAAUUGGAUCGACUCAGUAGAUGAUGGAGAAAUGUGGAUGACCUGGCUUGCCUCAGGUCCUGUCUUCAGGGAAGCAAGGUGGAUGGCUGCUGAGCUGGUCCCUCACCCGCUUGAGGCUAGUGGCAGUAGGAAAGGCAUUUGCUCACACUGAGUGCACUGCUUUGGGAGUGCACCAUGUGUGCAGUAGAAGGUCUGGAAGAGGCCCAGGUGUGGCAUGGCAUGCAGCUGGUUCUCUUGCCUAAGACCCUGUGAUUCCCGAGGAUUCCUGACAGUCAUUUGCCGACCUUUGUGAGAGAGCAUCCUUGCGUGUUCCCACCUCUGCAUUUAGUUGUGAAUCUGGCACAUUUUAUCCACCCAGGUGAAGCAGCCACAUGCCAGCCAGUGAGCUCACUGAUUGCUGAUGAGCUGUGGGUCUUGGCCUUGCAGUGAAGCGCUAGACAGACCCACAGGACCCAGAAACACAGCUUGUUACGUGCUCGGCAGAGUCAGCUGCUACUUUGGGUAGAGUUGCUAUCUAGACCUAAUUUUUUUUUUUAGAUUUUUUUUUUUAAUUUAUUCAUCUGAGACACAGAGAUAGAGAGAGCAUGAGCAGGGA